rnacentral:rRNA from 1 species
CAAUAGCGUAUAUUUAAGUUGCUGCAGCUAAAAAGCUCGUAGUUGGAUUUCGGGUGGGAAUGGCCGGUCCGCCGUUUCGGUGUGCACUUGCUACGCCCACCUUGCUGCCGGGGACGUGCUCUUGAGUUCACGCUCGGGACACGGAGUCGGCGAGGUUACUUUGAGUAAAUUAGAGUGUUCAAAGCAGGCCUACGCUCUGAAUACAUUAGCAUGGAAUAACACGAUAGGACUCUGGCCUAUCUUGUUGGUCUGUAGGACCGGAGUAAUGAUUAAGAGGGACAGUCGGGGGCAUUCGUAUUUCAUUGUCAGAGGUGAAAUUCUUGGAUUUAUGAAAGACGAACUACUGCGAAAGCAUUUGCCAAGGAUGUUUUCAUUAA